rnacentral:rRNA from 1 species
GACGAACGCUGGCGGCGUGCCUAACACAUGCAAGUCGAGCGAGAAAGUCCCUUCGGGGGCGAGUACAGCGGCGAACGGGUGAGUAACACGUGGGCAACCUGCCCCAAGGAGCGGGACAACCUCGGGAAACCGGGGCUAAUACCGCAUGACCCGCCACGGCUCAAGCCGUGUCGGCAAAAGGUCGCUUCGGCCUCCGCCUUGGGAUGGGCCCGCGGCGCAUUAGCUUGUUGGUGAGGGUAACGGCCCACCAAGGCGACGAUGCGUAGCUGGUCUGAGAGGACGAUCAGCCACACUGGGACUGAGACACGGCCCAGACUCCUACGGGAGGCAGCAGUGGGGAAUCUUGCGCAAUGGGCGAAAGCCUGACGCAGCAACGCCGCGUGAGGGACGACGGCCCUCGGGUUGUAAACCUCUUUCAGCUCCGACGAAGCGUAAGUGACGGUAGGAGCAGAAGAAGCACCGGCCAACUACGUGCCAGCCGCCGCGGU